GGGUUGCCCUCCUUGUUUUCUUCUUUAACGAUAAGAGCUGGUCCAUUUCCCUGUCCCAUGUCAAUUCUGAUGGAAACAUACCGCUCUGUCCAGUGCAGGGGAAGGUCCUGUUCAGGGAUAGGAACUGUGACCUUGACUCUCCAAAGGGGU